CACCGCGGUUAUACGAGAGGCCCUAAUUGAUGAACACGGCGUAAAGGGUGGUUAUGGGGCCCCUUACACUAAAGUCGAAAACCCUUCUAACUGUUAUACGCACUCAAGGGCUCUAAUUUCAUUAACGAAAGUGACUUUAUUACCGUCUACCAGAACCCACAACAGCUAGGGCA
rnacentral:rRNA from 1 species